AGUCAAGCCGCAAUAACCGACUAAUAUGAGCCUGUGUUCCGUAGUUGCAAGGCGUAAAGCCUUCUACAUUUUACCUUCAGACCUCUUGGCUAUAAACGAUUGGACAACAAUUUGUAGAGCACGCUUUUGUUGCAUCAACCAGGACUGGCAAUCACGUCGUUCAGAUGAUGAAUCCGAUUCAGACUUCGAAGAUAGACAUCAAGAUAUUGAAAUGCAUACUAAGAAACACAGAUUAAGUGACUUACGGCUUUCAGGAAGAAGAAUUCCUACUAGUAAACUUUACGAAGGGCUUAAGUAUGAU